rnacentral:rRNA from 1 species
GACGAACGCUGGCGGCGUGCUUAACACAUGCAAGUCGAACGGUAAGGCUCCAGCUUGCUGGGGUACACGAGUGGCGAACGGGUGAGUAACACGUGGGUGACCCGCCCUGCACUUCGGGAUAAGCCUGGGAAACUGGGUCUAAUACCGGAUAGGACCGCACCGUGAGGGUGUGGUGGAAAGUUUUUUCGGUGUGGGAUGGGCCCGCGGCCUAUCAGCUUGUUGGUGGGGUAAUGGCCUACCAAGGCGGCGACGGGUAGCCGGCCUGAGAGGGUGGACGGCCACAUUGGGACUGAGACACGGCCCAGACUCCUACGGGAGGCAGCAGUGGGGAAUAUUGCACAAUGGGCGGAAGCCUGAUGCAGCGACGCCGCGUGGGGGAUGACGGCCUUCGGGUUGUAAACUCCUUUCACCAUCGACGAAGGGUUUCUGACGGUAGAUGGAGAAGAAGCACCGGCUAACUACGUGCCAGCAGCCGCGGUAAUACGUAGGGUGCGAGCGUUGUCCGGAAUUACUGGGCGUAAAGAGCUCGUAGGUGGUUUGUCGCGUCGUCUGUGAAAUUCCGGGGCUUAACUCCGGGCGUGCAGGCGAUACGGGCAUAACUUGAGUACUGUAGGGGAGACUGGAAUUCCUGGUGUAGCGGUGAAAUGCGCAGAUAUCAGGAGGAACACCGGUGGCGAAGGCGGGUCUCUGGGCAGUAACUGACGCUGAGGAGCGAAAGCAUGGGGAGCGAACAGGAUUAGAUACCCUGGUAGUCCAUGCCGUAAACGGUGGGCGCUAGGUGUGGGUUUCCUUCCACGGGAUCCGUGCCGUAGCUAACGCAUUAAGCGCCCCGCCUGGGGAGUACGGCCGCAAGGCUAAAACUCAAAGGAAUUGACGGGGGCCCGCACAAGCGGCGGAGCAUGUGGAUUAAUUCGAUGCAACGCGAAGAACCUUACCUGGGCUUGACAUAUACAGGAUCGCGCCAGAGAUGGUGUUUCCCUUGUGGCUUGUAUACAGGUGGUGCAUGGUUGUCGUCAGCUCGUGUCGUGAGAUGUUGGGUUAAGUCCCGCAACGAGCGCAACCCUUGUCUUAUGUUGCCAGCACGUUGUGGUGGGGACUCGUAAGAAACUGCCGGGGUUAACUCGGAGGAAGGUGGGGAUGACGUCAAAUCAUCAUGCCCCUUAUGUCCAGGGCUUCACACAUGCUACAAUGGUCGGUACAGUGGGUUGCCAGUCCGUGAGGGCGAGCUAAUCCCGCAAAGCCGGUCUCAGUUCGGAUCGGGGUCUGCAACUCGACCCCGUGAAGUCGGAGUCGCUAGUAAUCGCAGAUCAGCAACGCUGCGGUGAAUACGUUCCCGGGCCU